GGAAAUGUGCCCGAACUUAAGGGCUACUUUGAUAGAGUAAAAUAUAGAGGUGAAAACCCCCUCAUUUCCU
rnacentral:tRNA from 1 species